UACGUAGGGUGCAAGCGUUAAUCGGAAUUACUGGGCGUAAAGCGUGCGCAGGCGGUUUUGUAAGUCUGUCGUGAAAUCCCCGGGCUUAACCUGGGAACUGCAUUUGUGACUGCAUAGCUAGAGUACGGUAGAGGGGGAUGGAAUUCCGCGUGUAGCAGUGAAAUGCGUAGAUAUGCGGAGGAACACCGAUGGCGAAGGCAAUCCCCUGGGCCUGCACUGACGCUCAUGCACGAAAGCGUGGGGAGCAAACAGG
rnacentral:rRNA from 1 species